CCUACGGGAGGCAGCAGUGAGGAAUAUUGGUCAAUGGACGCAAGUCUGAACCAGCCAAGUAGCGUGAAGGAUGACUGCCCUACGGUUUGUAAACUUCUUUUAUAAAGGAAUAAAGUGAGGCACGUGUGCCUUAUUGUAUGUACUUUAUGAAUAAGGAACGGCUAACUCCGUGCCAGCAGCCGCGGUAAGACGGAGGGUCCGUGCGUUAUCCGGAUUUAUUGGGUUUAAAGGGAGCGUAGAUGGGUUGUUAAGUCAGUUGUGAAAGCUUGCGGCUCAACCGUAAAAUUGCAAUUGAGACUGGCAGUCUUGAGUACAGUUGAGGUAGGCGGAAUUCGUGGUGUAGCGGUGAAAUGCUUAGAUAUCACGAAGAACUCCGAUUGCGAAGGCAGCCUACUAAACUGCCACUGACAUUGAUGCUCGAAAGUGUGGGUAUCAAACAGGAUUAGAUACCCUUGUAGUC
rnacentral:rRNA from 1 species